rnacentral:rRNA from 1 species
GGGGGAAUAUUGCACAAUGGGCGCAAGCCUGAUGCAGCGACGCCGCGUGAGGGAUGGAGGCCUUCGGGUUGUAAACCUCUUUCGCCAGUGAAGCAGGCCAUCUUCUUUGUGGGGUGGUUGACGGUAGCUGGAUAAGAAGCGCCGGCUAACUACGUGCCAGCAGCCGCGGUAAUACGUAGGGCGCGAGCGUUGUCCGGAAUUAUUGGGCGUAAAGAGCUCGUAGGCGGCUGGUCGCGUCUUUCGUGAAAUCCCCUGGCUUAACUGGGGGUUUGCGGUGGGUACGGGCCGGCUUGAGUGCGGUAGGGGAGACUGGAAUUCCUGGUGUAGCGGUGGAAUGCGCAGAUAUCAGGAGGAACACCGGUGGCGAAGGCGGGUCUCUGGGCCGUUACUGACGCUGAGGAGCGAAAGCGUGGGGAGCGAACAGG